GACGAACGCUGGCGGCGCGCUUAAUGCAUGCAAGUCGGGCGGGGCUCCGCAAGGGGCCCAGCGGCAGACGGCUGAGUAACGCGUGAGUGACCUGCCCCGGAAAGGGGAAUAACACCGAGAAAUCGGUGCUAAUGCCACGUACGCUCGGCGGCGUAAGGCCGUCGAGGAAAGGAGCCGGGUAACCGUGUUCCGUUCUGGGAGGGGCUCGCGUCCUAUCAGGUAGUCGGCGGGGUAAUGGCCCACCGAGCCUAAGACGGGUAGCCGGAGUGAGAGCUUGUACGGCCAGAGGGGGACGUGAGAUACGGCCCCNCC
rnacentral:rRNA from 1 species